rnacentral:rRNA from 1 species
CGAACGGCACCUAUCUUCGGGUAGAAGCGAGUGGCGAACGGCUGAGUAACACGUGGAGAACCUGCCCCCUCCCCCGGGAUAGCCGCCCGAAAGGACGGGUAAUACCGGAUACCCCGGGGUGCCGCAUGGCACCCCGGCUAAAGCCCCGACGGGAGGGGAUGGCUCCGCGGCCCAUCAGGUAGACGGCGGGGUGACGGCCCACCGUGCCGACAACGGGUAGCCGGGUUGAGAGACCGACCGGCCAGAUUGGGACUGAGACACGGCCCAG